GUCUCCCUGCGGUGUUCGUUGUCGGUCUAAUAUUCUUUGAACCAACUCGUCAUUGACGAGGUUACCUAGCCGAUUAGCGCUGUUGUGAGCGUCCCCCCGAAUCGUCGGGCUUGCAGGAUGCACCUUAAGGCGCGUGGAGGGUGACCACUUGAACCACACGGUUCAAGAUGCAGGCCGGGCGACACUCGCGGGGGGGCA
rnacentral:other from 1 species